AUUUUAUACUCAUCGCCGUUACCUUAAAAAAAGGGAAAAAAAAAACUAAAUUUCCAUACUCUACAGUAUUGCGUGGGUGUGGUUGAUUUUUGCCUAUUUUUGUUCGAUAAAAGGGGAAAUUUGUAUUCCGUACUUGAUGAGGUUUUGUGAGUAACAAAACCAUUUUUGGUCUCUGUCUACUCUCUAAGUCCUUCUAUUUGUUAUCCAUGUCGACACAUCGGAUUGCGAAGAAAAACUGAAUACUUCAUCGUCGCGAAGUAAGAAAAACAAAUAGAAUAAGUGUUAGGAAGCAAGCAAACUAAGCUAAAAAAAAAAUUAAGUUAUUACUACUAAGUCUCGUGCACACUUAUAGUACGAACACUGAAAGAAUGCAAUGCACAUAUGGAGUUGUAACAAUGUUCAGGGACAUUAAGUAAGAUCCGAUUUUUGACUUAUUUUAAAGGACAAAGGCUGAAAUCGAUUAGGAAAACCUAAUUUCCUUACUUCGUUCAGGAUUUAUCACUGCCCAAAUCGCCCUGCAUGUACCCUUCACUUAUACAUAAUACACCGAAGCUACAAUGAUUUUUAUAAUAUCAAGUACGAUUUUGUUUUUUAUUAUGUUUAUGGCAGUUACCGGAGAGACUCGGGUAUCGUGUAUCGUCUAUCGUGCUAUAUCGAAACUGUCUUACAUGAAACUUUGGUUUUUUAUCCGUAUUAUCUUAUAAACUGGCAACACCGGCUGACAUAGUGGCUCUGCGGCGUACAAUUAGGUAAAUAUGGAUUUAAAAUAAACUUGACUUCAUGUAAAAGGGGGCUUCAGUUGUAAUUUCCAAUUUCAAAGAGAAAAGUUUUGGUGCUUCCAGGUUUUAAAAUAUCCAGUAAAAUUUGCGACUUGUGAUUGCUUAACAUAUAGAAAUCAUUAAAAAUUGUAUCAAAGUAGCAGCUCAACACCCAUCGAUUCUCCAUUUGCCAGAGAGGAUUGGGUCGUCAUCACAGCCUCUAUAUUCAGGCCACUGGGAUGAUAUGAUUUAACUUUUUUUCCUUUAGAGCUACUUUAAAGCCCAGGUCCAUGCUGAGAAUCUGCAAAUUUUCAACAUUUUCGGAUUAUCGCAGACAUAAUGCCACUUGUUUUGACCAAUCGCUCAGACGAUGUCCCCGGUGCCGGCCAGAGAGAAGAGCAAAUUGAGAAAGGGAAUGACAUAUGGAAACGUUCGCGGCCUAGUGAACACUCACUUUCCCACCUUACCGCCUGAACACUCACUAAAGCUACGCCCAAUGUUAACGCAACCGUACGGAGAUGUGAAUCCGUGAUUAAUAACUUGUUAGUCGCGGUUCGCACCUACUCGACGUAUGCGCCAAUGAGCUCACGACCAUCCUGGACAUUUGCACGAUAGUAUAAUUUGCUUUGUUACGUUGACUUCUUUCUUUUCUUUUUCUUCAUAUUUCACAAAAAAAAAAAAACAAAAUGUCAUUCUUAACGAAAGUCGCUUCGCAACGUUCUAUACGUAAGGAACUUUUGUGAUUCUGGCGAGUGUUUGAAUGAAAAAAAAUUCGAUUUUCAACGUAGAAAAAUAAAAAAAAAAAUGGCAAACCUUUACUUAUUUACUAAGGUUUAAAUUAACUUGAGUGUUUUCUUUGGAUUUCUUUUUUUUUUAUUUUUUUUUUAUUUUUAUUUUUACACUCUGACGCCAUAUCUUUUGUACAACUUUCGAAAUUCGAAAUGAGGUAAAAAGUCCUUCGGUUUAUUGAAUAAACUUUUUUUUUUUUAUUAUGCAUCCAGAAUUAAACGCUAAUGUAUUAAGCUCUGACCUACUUUCCCUUUAUUCCAUAGCAGCAUACGCUCCGUCUGUAAUUUUUAUAACAAAUGCGUCGAUUCUGGUUUAUAAUUCAAUCAUCGAAUUCAAUUGAAAAGAAAAUGUCAAAAAAAAAAAAAAAAAAAAAAAAAA